AGCUCAUCGUUUUCUGAUUCUGUUCUAAUUCCACCCGGAAGAAACAUUGAGAGUAACCAAGGGCCCGAGGUGUGCCUCCCCCUCCUAGUAUCAACCACGCAUCGCCAGCCACACCGUUAAAGGCAGGCUUAUGAAGCUUCAUGUGCUUAAAAAGGAUUAAUCUACUGGAUGCCUUUGUUUCUAUAUUGGAGUCUCUUGGACAAGAAGGAGCCAUUGAUCAAUUUUCUCCUUCUGCCAACUCCUAUCAUCAUUUCUGUCAGAUAUUGCCACACAUCCCCUGGCGAGUAAAAUUGCUCCUGGUUGAGAGACACUCCUGCUGAAUUCUGGACGAGAUUUUCCAGGGGUCACAGCCGACGCUCAUAACAUUGCGCUGUCUACUUGGUACACUGAGAAGCACUGCAGUCCUAUCUGCCCAGAGAGAAGAGUGAAUCAUGAAGCCAAGAAAAGAAAGACUACCUCCCAUGACACACACACAACACAGAUAGGCACACAUACACAUGAGCACACAAAAACACAGCACCACACAUCAGGACACAUAUGCAGACACCUGUACUCUCACAAGACAAACUCAUACCCGUAGAGAACUGCUGAAGUUUCUACAGGUUUUCUCGCUCCCGGUCCCAAACGCCCAAGAGUCCUGGUGCCUGAGUUCUCUAAGGGGCUUCUAGAGGACAAUCUAUAAGCUCAGAGACUUGUCCAAACUGAGGCCAGGUCAAAUAAGGAGCUUUGCCAAAGACUCGAAGGUAGUCUCACCUUGGUCUCCAUUCUCAUCACUGAGCUUGUGAGUUCUUCAGUCUCCUCCUCAGUUCCUGACGUCAUCAUCUAAGUCCUGGUCUCCAAAGGAUCCAAGUCUUCUCUUCACGAGCCUUCUCUUAGGUGGAUGGAACCCCAGUCAUCCCCCAUUCGCUCUCUUCUUCCAGACAUCUGCUCCUGCCUCCUAUGCCAUCUCCCACCUCCUGGUUUGGGAACUGUAUUUUGCAUGCAGAAAUGUAUUUGCUUUGCCCUUCUGCCCCAUUCUAAUCAUUUGCUUGUCCCUGGACUAUCACUUGUUGCCUGUUGCCCUAACCUAUGGAAAUCACAUAAUGCUUUGCUUACUGGAAUAAUCUUUCUGUUUUAUUUAAAACUUGAGUCUACUUCUCU
rnacentral:lncRNA from 1 species